UUUUUUUUGCAUGAUGAUGUAAUGAACCUGGUCAGAUUGGGAACAAAGCAGCCAUAAUUGCAGAUAUUUCAGUGACAAUAAUCUUAC
rnacentral:SRP_RNA from 1 species